GCACGUGAAACCCUGUCUGAAUCCACCGGGACCAUCCGGUAAGGCUAAAUACUAGUCAGUGACCGAUAGUGAACGAGUACAGUGAUGGAAAGGCGAAAAGAACAGUGAGAAGCUGAGUGAAAUAGACCCUGAAACCGUUAGCUUACAACCAGUCAGAGCACAAUUAAUUGUGUUAUGGCGUGCCUGUUGAAGAAUGAGCCGGCGAGUUAUUUUUUGUUGCGAGGUUAAGGAGAUCAUAUCCGGAGCCACAGGGAAACCGAGUCUGAAUAGGGCGUUAAGUAACAGGAAAUAGACCCGAACCUUGGUGAUCUAACCUUGACCAGGAUGAAGCGUGGGUAACACUACGUGGAGGUCCGAACCAACCGAUGUUGAAAAAUCGGUGGAUGAGUUGAGGUUAGGGGUGAAAUGCCAAUCGAACCAAGAGCUAGCUGGUUCUCCCCGAAAUGCGUUUAGGCACAGCGUUGGAUUUAUCUUGCAGGAGGUAGAGCACUGGUUUUGUGCGGGCGUCGAAAUGAUGUACCAAACAAUGUCAAACUCCGAAUACCUGUAAUGUCAUUAUCCAGCAGUGAGGCUAUGAGUGAUAAGAUCCAUGGCCAAGAGGGAAACAGCCCAGAACGCCAGUUAAGGUCCCUAAUAUAUGCUAAGUGGUUAAGGAGGUAGAGUUACUGAGACAACCAGGAGGUUGGCUUAGAAGCAGCCAUCCCUUGAAAGAGUGCGUAAUAGCUCACUGGUCAAGUGACUCCGCGCCGAAAAUACACCGGGACUAAAGCAUAUAACCGAAGCUGCGUCAUAUAGUUUACUAUAUGGGUAGGGGAGCGUACUGUAGUAAGACGAAGCUAGAGUGAAAACACUAGUGGAUGAGGCAGUAGUGAGAAUGUCGGCAUAAGUAGCGAAAACAUUGGUGAGAAUCCAAUGCACCGAAAACCUAAGGUUUCCCACGGCAGGCUCGUCCGCGUGGGGUUAGUCGGAUCCUAAGCUCAGGCCAAACGGCGUAGGCGAUGGACAAUAGGUUGAUAUUCCUAUACUAUCUGAUAAUCGUUAUCAGAAGCGGAGGGACGCAAGAGGAUAAGCACGCAGUCGAAUGGAAGAGACUGUAUAAGCGUGUAGCUAGGUUUGACAGGAAAAUCCGUCAAAUCGUUAAUGUGAGGCGUGAUGUGGAGAGUCUACGGACUUGAAGGUGUUGACUCCAAAUUGCCAAGAAAAUCUUCGCUCUCGAGAUUAUUGGGUAUCCGUACCGUAAACCGCCACAGGUAGGUUGGUAGAAAAUACUAAGGUGCGCGAGACAACUCUCGCUAAGGAACUCGGCAAAAUCACCUCGUAACUUCGGGAGAAGAGGUACCCUGGUAGCGUGAAGCGAUUUACUCGUGAAGCGUGAUAGGGUCGCAGUGAAUAGGCCCAAGCGACUGUUUACCAAAAACACAGGUCUCUGCUAAGUCGAUCAAGACGAUGUAUAGGGGCUGACGCCUGCCCGGUGUCGGAAGGUUACGCGGAAAUGUUAGAAGCAAUUCAAAGCAUCGAAGCUAAGCCCCGAUGAACGGCGGCCGUAACUAUAACGGUCCUAAGGUAGCGAAAUUCCUUGUCAGGUAAGUUCUGACCCGCACGAAUGGCGUAACGAUUUGGGCGCUGUCUCGGCGAGAGGCUCGGCGAAAUUGGAUUAUCCGUGAAGAUACGGAUUACGUGUACCAGGACAGAAAGACCCUAUUGAGCUUUACUGUAGCUUGAAAUUGAAUUCGGGUUCUCAUUGCGCAGUAUAGGUGGGAGACUAAGAAGCUUGAACUUUGGUUUAAGUGGAGUCAUCGUUGAGAUACCACUCUGUGAAAAUUUGGAUUCUAACCUUGAUCCCUCAAAGAACAGGGCAAGGGACAGUUUCUGGUAGGCAGUUUGACUGGGGCGGUCGCCUCCUAAAAAGUAACGGAGGCGUUCAAAGGUUCCCUCAGGUUGGUCGGAAAUCAACCGUUGAGUGCAAUAGCAAAAGGGAGCUUGACUGUGAGACCUACAAGUCGAGCAGGUACGAAAGUAGGAUAUAGUGAUCCGGUGGUUCUGCAUGGAAGGGCCAUCGCUCAUCGGAUAAAAGUUACCAUA
rnacentral:rRNA from 1 species